rnacentral:snRNA from 1 species
UUGCUAAAUUAGCAGGAAGCCACUGACAAAUUUUCCCAAGGUAAGGUUUAAGCCUUGCACUCUCUUUUGGCCAACCCCUGCAAUUCAGUGAACUUGAGGGAACUCCACAGCAUAAUUUGUGGCAGCCGGGGACUGCAUUUGUUCUCUGCCCUGG